rnacentral:lncRNA from 1 species
AAAAUAUUAAGAAGAAAAAAGCGGUAGCAUGAACGCAUGGUGUACUGUUUUAUUGAAGCUUGUUCACUCACUGUUGGUUUUGGAAGGACAUAAUGACUUCAUCAGUGUCAAAGGGAUGUUUUGUUUUUAAGUCAGCCUCCAAAAAGAGAAAGCGACAUAUAGGAGUUGGUGGAUAUUUGGUGGAUGAUAGUGACGAUAACGGCAGCGAUCGCUUUAGAAUCUGUCAGA